AUUGAACGCUGGCGGCAUGCCUUACACACGCAAGUCGAACGGCAGCAUAGAGGGCUUGCUCUCUGAUGGCGAGUGGCGAACGGGUGAGUAAAGCAUCGGAACGUACCGUGUAGUGGGGGAUAACGUAGCGAAAGUUACGCUAAUACCGCAUACGUACUGAGGUAGAAAGCAGGGGAUCGUAAGACCUUGAGCUAUACGAGCGGCCGAUGUCAGAUUAGCUAGUUGGUAGGGUAAAGGCCUACCAAGGCGACGAACUGUAGCGGGUCUGAGAGGAUGAUCCGCCACACUGGGACUGAGACACGGCCCAGACUCCUACGGGAGGCAGCAGUGGGGAAUUUUGGACAAUGGGGGCAACCCUGAUCCAGCCAUGCCGCGUGAGUGAAGAAGGCCUUCGGGUUGUAAAGCUCUUUCGGCCGGGAAGAAAUCGCACAGGCUAAUACCCUGUGUGGAUGACGGUACCGGCAUAAGAAGCACCGGCUAACUACGUGCCAGCCGCCGCCGUAA
rnacentral:rRNA from 1 species